UACCUACGGGAGGCAGCAGUCGGGAAUAUUGCGCAAUGGAGGAAACUCUGACGCAGUGACGCCGCGUAUAGGACGAAGGUCUUCGGAUUGUAAACUAUUGUCGUUAGGGAAGAGAAAGGACAGUACCUAAGGAGGAAGCUCCGGCUAACUACGUGCCAGCAGCCGCGGUAAUACGUAGGUGGCAAGCGUUAUCCGGAUUUACUGGGCGUAAAGGGCGUGUAGGCGGGAAAGCAAGUCAGAUGUGAAAACCAUGGGCUCAACCUGUGGCCUGCAUUUGAAACUGUUUUUCUUGAGUACUGGAGAGG
rnacentral:rRNA from 1 species